GCUGGGCAUGGUGGUGCACACCUAUAAUUCCAGCAUUUUAGGAGGCUGAGGCAGGAGGAUCACAAGUUGAAAGCCAGCCUCAGCAGCUUAGCAAGGCCCUGAGCAAAUUAGUGAGAUCCUGUCUCAA
rnacentral:sRNA from 1 species